AAGAUCAACAACCACUUUUUUUUUAACAAUAUAUGGAUAUGGUGAAGAACACCAAGAACACAAACUUUGAGUCUUGAAGUUCUAAGGUUCAAGUUGGACCUCCCAAACAACAACUUUCCAAGCUUAAAUUCCACAACACAAUCUCCACAAUACACGUUCAAAUCUUGAAUCAACAACACUUCACACGUUCAAGUCUUGAACC
rnacentral:lncRNA from 1 species